rnacentral:rRNA from 1 species
GACGAACGCUGGCGGCGUGCUUAACACAUGCAAGUCGAACGGAAAGGCCCUGCUUUUGUGGGGUGCUCGAGUGGCGAACGGGUGAGUAACACGUGAGUAACCUGCCCUUGACUUUGGGAUAACUUCAGGAAACUGGGGCUAAUACCGGAUAGGAGCUCCUGCUGCAUGGUGGGGGCUGGAAAGUUUCGGCGGUUGGGGAUGGACUCGCGGCUUAUCAGCUUGUUGGUGGGGUAGUGGCUUACCAAGGCUUUGACGGGUAGCCGGCCUGAGAGGGUGACCGGCCACAUUGGGACUGAGAAACGGCCCAGACUCCUACGGGAGGCAGCAGUGGGGAAUAUUGCACAAUGGGCGGAAGCCUGAUGCAGCAACGCCGCGUGCGGGAUGACGGCCUUCGGGUUGUAAACCGCUUUCGCCUGUGACGAAGCGUGAGUGACGGUAAUGGGUAAAGAAGCACCGGCUAACUACGUG